rnacentral:tRNA from 1 species
GAGUGUGUAGCUCAGUGGACAAGAGCACGUGGCUACGAACCACGGGGUCGGGGGUUCGAAACCCUCCUCACUCG